CCCUUAGAUGUCCUGGGCCGCACGCGCGCUACACUGAACGGAUCAGCGUGUUUUCCCUUCCCGAGAGGGACGGGUAACCUGCUGAACCCCGUUCGUGGUAGGGAUCGGGGCUUGCAAUUAUUCCCCGUGAACCAGGAAUGCCCAGUAAGUGCAAGUCAUAAGCUUGCGUUGAUUACGUCCCUGCCCUUUGUACACACCGCCCGUCGCUACUACCGAUUGAACGUUUUAGUGAGGUACUCGGACUGAGCCUCAGAAGAUUCACGUCUUUUGUGCUGCUCGGGAAGAUUCCCAAACUUGAGCGUUUAGAGGAAGUAAAAGUCGUAACA
rnacentral:rRNA from 1 species